AUUGAACGCUGGCGGCAUGCUUUACACAUGCAAGUCGAACGGCAGCGCGGGCUUCGGCCUGGCGGCGAGUGGCGAACGGGUGAGUAAUACAUCGGAACGUGCCCAGUAGUGGGGGAUAGCUCGGCGAAAGCCGGAUUAAUACCGCAUACGACCUGAGGGUGAAAGCGGGGGAUCUUCGGACCUCGCGCUAUUGGAGCGGCCGAUGGCAGAUUAGCUAGUUGGUGGGGUAAAGGCCUACCAAGGCGACGAUCUGUAGCUGGUCUGAGAGGACGACCAGCCACACUGGGACUGAGACACGGCCCAGACUCCUACGGGAGGCAGCAGUGAGGAAUUUUGGACAAUGGGCGAAAGCCUGAUCCAGCAAUGCCGCGUGUGUGAUGAAGGCCUUCGGGUUGUAAAGCACUUUUGGCGGGAACGAAAAGGACUGUGCCGAUACCACGGUUCGAUGACGGUACCCGCAGAAUAAGCACCGGCUAACUACGUG
rnacentral:rRNA from 1 species